rnacentral:rRNA from 1 species
GUCAAUCUGCUCAAUGAAAAUUUUUAAAUAGCUGCAGUAUAUUGACUGUACAAAGGUAGCAUAAUAAUUUGUCUUUUAAUUGAAGAAUGGAAUGAAAGAAUCAAUGAAAUAUAUACUGUCUCUAAUAUAUUAUAAUAAUUUAAAUUUUAAGUUAAAAUGCUAAAAUUAAAUUAUGGGACGAUAAGACCCUAUAGAAUUUUAUAUUAUUAAUAAAUUAAUAAUAAUUUUAUUUUUAUUUUAUUAAUAAUAUUUAAUUGGGAUGAUUAAUAAAUUUGAUUAACUUUAUUAAAUUUUAAACUUUGAUUUAAGAAAAUUUAAAUUGAUAAAAAUAUAUAAUGAUUAAUAAAAUAAAUUACCUUAGGGAUAACAGCGUAAUAUCUUUUAUAAGAACAUAUUAAUAAAGAUGUUUGCGACCUCGAUGUUGAAUUAAGAUAAAUUUUAAAUGAAGAAAUUUAAUAAUUAAGUCUGUUCGACUUUUAAAAUCUUACAUGAUUUGAGUUC